rnacentral:rRNA from 1 species
GCAAGUCGAGCGGUAACAUUCCAGCUUGUUAUGAGAUGACGUGCGGCGGACGGGUGAGUAAUGCUUGGGAAUAUGCCUUGUGGUGGGGGACAACAGUUGGAAACGACUGCUAAUACCGCAUAACCUCUUCGGAGUAAAGUGGGGGACCUGCGGGCCUCACGCGAUUAGAUUAGCCCAAGUGAGAUUAGCUAGUUGGUAGGGUAAAGGCGUACCAAGGCGACGAUCUCUAGCUGGUUUGAGAGGAUGAUC